UACAGAGGUCUCAAGCGUUGUUCGGAUUCAUUGGGCGUAAAGGGUGCGUAGGCGGCGCGGUAAGUCGGGUGUGAAAUCUCGGAGCUUAACUCCGAAACUGCAUUCGAUACUGCCGUACUUGAGGACUGGAGAGGAGACUGGAAUUUACGGUGUAGCGGUGAAAUGCGUAGAUAUCGUAAGGAAGACCAGUGGCGAAGGCGGGUCUCUGGACAGUUCCUGACACUGAGGCACGAAGGCCAGGGGAGCAAACGGG
rnacentral:rRNA from 1 species